CCUGGUUGAUCCUGCCAGUAGUCAUAUGCUUGUCUCAAAGAUUAAGCCAUGCAUGUCUAAGUAUAAGCACUUGUACUGUGAAACUGCGAAUGGCUCAUUAAAUCAGUUAUCGUUUAUUUGAUUGUACCUUACUACAUGGAUACCUGUGGUAAUUCUAGAGCUAAUACAUGCGAAAGAUCCCGACUUCACGGAAGGGAUGUAUUUAUUAGACUAAAAACCAAUGCGGGCCUCGGUCCGCUUGCUUGGUGAUUCAUGAUAACUUUUCGAAUCGCAUGGCCUUGCGCCGGCGAUGUUUCAUUCAAAUUUCUGCCCUAUCAACUGUCGAUGGUAAGGUAGUGGCUUACCAUGGUUGCAACGGGUGACGGAGAAUUAGGGUUCGAUUCCGGAGAGGGAGCCUGAGAAACGGCUACCACAUCUAAGGAAGGCAGCAGGCACGAAAAUUACCCAAUCCCGAUUCGGGGAGGUAGUGACAAGAAAUAACGGUACGGGGCCUUUAUAGGUCUCGCAAUCGGAAUGAGAACAAUUUAAAUCCUUUAACGAGGAUCAAUUGGAGGGCAAGUCUGGUGCCAGCAGCCGCGGUAAUUUCAGCUCCAAUAGCGUAUAUUAAAGUUGUUGCAGUUAAAAAGCUCGUAGUUGGAUUUCGGAGCGGGCCCGUCGGUCCACCGCAAGGUGAGCUACUGGCGGGUCUGUUCUUCUUCGCAAAGACUGCAGGUGCACUUCGCUGUGUGCUUGUCGGAUUUGUGACGUUUACUUUGAAAAAAUUAGAGUGUUCAAAGCAGGCUUUCGCUUGAAUACAUGAGCAUGGAAUAAUGGAAUAGGACUUUGGUUCUAUUUUGUUGGUUUCUAGGACCGAAGUAAUGAUUAAGAGGGACAAACGGGGGCAUCUGUAUUUCGUUGUCAGAGGUGAAAUUCUUGGAUUUGCGAAAGACAAACAACUGCGAAAGCACUUGCCAAGAGUGUUUUCAUUAAUCAAGAACGAAAGUUAGAGGAUCGAAGACGAUCAGAUACCGUCCUAGUUCUAACCAUAAACGUGACUAACAUGAUGAUUUGCGAGAGAAACCCACGCUUUGUCACUUAUGUGAGGAUAAAAUCUCUUGUCCAUAUGAUCCUUUGAAGGGAACAGCGCUUUGAGCUUGCUCGGCGUUGGCACCUUUAGUCUGUAAUAUUUUCUUGAUAUUAUGGACGAAAAAGGUAGUAUGGUUGCAAAGCUGAAACCUAAAGGAAUUGACGGAAGGGCACCACCAGGAGUGGAGCCUGCGGCUUAAUUUUUUUGAGAGGAGGAGUGGAAGUUUUUCCAUAAGUCGUCUCUCGUAUAAACUGUGGUAAAUCCGGCCAUCCAGCCUCUACGCGGCGCAACUAGAAACUUGGAUCAGUGAUCAAGGCUAAUGGAUGACGGGACUCCAUGGAUAAGGAGAAAUAAAGAUCUUAUCCGAACGCAUCGUAAGGGGUUAUGGGGCUAACACCCCCUUAAUUCUGGUGCACAUUUAUUGACCGUUAUGAGCAAUAUAAUCACGAUAGGUGACGUACCCUCGGUAGGAAAGGGGGGUUUAACUGUCAAUAAACAAACAGCAGGAGCUGAUGGUGCUGAAGCGUGU
rnacentral:rRNA from 1 species